UACGAAGGGGGCUAGCGUUGCUCGGAAUUACUGGGCGUAAAGGGCGCGUAGGCGGCGCGGUAAGUCGGGUGUGAAAUCUCGGAGCUUAACUCCGAAACUGCAUUCGAUGCUGCCGUGCUUGAGGACUGGAGAGGAGACUGGAAUUUACGGUGUAGCGGUGAAAUGCGUAGAUAUCGUAAGGAAGACCAGUGGCGAAGGCGGGUCUCUGGACAGUUCCUGACGCUGAGGCACGAAGGUCAGGGGAGCAAACGGG
rnacentral:rRNA from 1 species